CGCUGAACUUAAGCAUAUCAAUAAGCGGAGGAAAAGAAACUAACAAGGAUUCCCCUAGUAACGGCGAGUGAAGCGGGAACAGCUCAAGCCCUUAAUCGGCAACGGACCACCGUUGUCGAAUUGUAGCUUGAAGGUCAGUACUUUGGCAGCGCGGCAGACAUAAGCCUUUUGAAUAGGGCGCCAGAGAGGGUGCAAGCCCCGUCUUUUGUCAGCAACGUCCGUCUGUCAGUAUAAGUGCAGGCCAGCGAGUCGGGUUGUUUGGGAAUGCAGCCCUAACUGGGUGGUAAAUUUCAUCCAAAGCUAAAUAUCAGCCAGAGACCGAUAGCGAACAAGUACCGUGAGGGAAAGAUGAAAAGCACUCUGGAGAGAGAGUGAAAUAGUACGUGAAAUCGCUGCAAGGGAACCGCUUGCUCACCUCAAGCCAUGACUUUCGAGCUAUGGCGGCCAACACCAGUUUGGACUCUCAGACGGCCAGGGACGGAAGGUAGGUGGCGCUUCGGUGCUGCUGUUAUAGCUGUCUCAACGGUUUGUGCAGGGUUUGGACUGAGGCAUACCAGCAGUGCGUGCUCUCCUCGGAGGGCGGCCUGCCGUGCCUGCUCACGGCGGACACUCGUCAGACAGCAUGCUGACUGACGGUGAAAUUCCUGUUGUGACUCGGGUGCGAGCGGGACU
rnacentral:rRNA from 1 species